AUCGGUGUAGCUCAACAGGUCAGAGCAGCUAUAUUAUAAAUAUGGCAGGUUGCAGGUUCGAGUCCUGCCGCCG
rnacentral:tRNA from 1 species